rnacentral:rRNA from 1 species
UACGUAGGGUGCGAGCGUUGCCCGGAUUUAUUGGGCGUAAAGGGCGCGUAGGCGGCCACGCACGUCCGUUGUGAAAUCGCCCGGCUCAACUGGGCGGGGUCGGCGGAUACGGCGUGGCUGGAGCAAGCUAGGGGGCAAUGGAAUUCCCGGUGUAGUGGUGGAAUGCGUAGAUAUCGGGAGGAACACCGGUGGCGAAGGCGGCGACCUGGGUAGAUACUGACGCUGAGGUGCGAAAGCGUGGGGAGCAAACAGG